rnacentral:rRNA from 1 species
CCUGGUUGAUCCUGCCAGUAGUCUCAAAGAUUAAGCCAUGCAAGUCUAAGUACACACGGCCGGUACAGUGAAAGUGCGAAUGGCUCAUUAAAUCAGUUAUGGCUCCUUUGAUCGCUCCAACGUUACUUGGAUAACUGUGGCAAUUCUAGAGCUAAUACAUGCCAACGAGCGCUGACCUCCGGGGAUGCGUGCAUUUAUCAGAUCCAAAACCCAUGCGGGCCAAUCUCGGUUUCCCCGGCCGCUUUGGUGACUCUAGAUAACUUCGAGCCGAUUGCGCGCCCUUUGUGGCGGUGACGUCUCAUUCGAAUGUCUGCCCUAUCAACUUUCGAUGGUACUUUCCGUGCCUACAAUGGUGACCACGGCUAACGGGGAAUCAGGGUUCGAUUCCUGAGAGGGAGCCUGAGAAAUGGCUACCACAUCCAAGGAAGGCAGCAGGCGCACAAAUUACCCACUCCCGACUCGGGGAGGUAGUGACGAAAAAUAACAAUACAGGACUCUUUGAGGCCCUGUAAUUGGAAUUAGUAAACUUUAAAUCCUUUAACGAGGAUCCAUUGGAGGGCAAGUAUGGUGCCAGCAGCCGCGGUAAUUCCAGCUCCAAUAAUGUAUCUUAAAGUUGCUGCAGUAAUAAAGCUCGUAGUUGGAUCUCGGGAUUGAGCUGCGGGGUCCGAAGCGUUUACUUUACCCGGGUACCCAGCACCCAAUCUUAUUUCGGAACGGAAGGCAUCUUCCUCCACCUUCCCCCUUCAAUACAAAUGGGUUACCAGGUGCACAGAGAAUCAAAUCAAAUCAAAUUUAUUUUAUAUAGCCCUUCGUACAUCAGCUGAUAUCUCAAAGUGCUGUACAGAAACCCAGCCUAAAACCCCAAACAGCAAGCAAUGCAGGUGAAG